rnacentral:rRNA from 1 species
UACGUAGGGUCCGAGCGUUGUCCGGAAUUAUUGGGCGUAAAGGGCUCGUAGGCGGUUUGUCGCGUCGGGAGUGAAAACACGGGGCUUAACUCCGUGCCUGCUUCCGAUACGGGCAGACUAGAGGUAUGCAGGGGAGAACGGAAUUCCUGGUGUAGCGGUGAAAUGCGCAGAUAUCAGGAGGAACACCGGUGGCGAAGGCGGUUCUCUGGGCAUUACCUGACGCUGAGGAGCGAAAGUGUGAGGAGCGAACAGG